AACGAACGCUGGCGGCAGGCCUAACACAUGCAAGUCGAGCGAACCCUUCGGGGUUAGCGGCGGGCGGGUUAGUAACGCGUGGGAAUAUACCCUUUGGUACGGAAUAGCCUCGGGAAACUGAGAGUAAUACCGUAUGUGCCCUUCGGGGGAAAGAUUUAUCGCCAAAGGAUUAGCCCGCGUUGGAUUAGAUAGUUGGUGGGGUAAUGGCCUACCAAGUCUACGAUCCAUAGCUGGUUUGAGAGGAUGAUCAGCAACACUGGGACUGAGACACGGCCCAGACUCCUACGGGAGGCAGCAGUGGGGAAUCUUAGACAAUGGGCGCAAGCCUGAUCUAGCCAUGCCGCGUGGACGAUGAAGGCCUUAGGGUUGUAAAGUCCUUUCAGAUGGGAAGAUAAUGACGGUACCAUCAGAAGAAGCCCCCGGNUAACUCCGUGCCAGCAGCCGCGGUAAAGU
rnacentral:rRNA from 1 species